AUUAAACGUCGGCCAUUUGGAGCCUUCUGUAGACACAUCAAUUUCUGACUAACGUUCUUCUCAUACCUCUAAGUGAGAUCACGUGAUGAUGGAGAAGGUCACCAGAGCCAGGCACCUUGUCCACACACAGGGCUUCCUUCCUCCAUGACUUAACCCAGAGAUGUAGACGGCGGGGUCAACAUUAAAUACCACAAACAGGCAAAAGAGCUUCAGACAGAAGGAUCAUCUUCCUGAAGACAAAAUAAUCAUCAUCCUUUGAGGGCAAAAUGGGCAACUUUAUGGGAACUUGUUUGGAAUUGAGCCUUGAUUCUGAAAAGAAAGUAUCAGAGGGCAGCAUUUGAACUGGCAUUUAAGGUGUCAACCAGGGGGAAUUUGGUGCUGACCAGUAAAAGGGGAGAAUCGAAAACAGAAGCUCCAUCACCAGGGACAGGUCCAGACUCCUGACUAGAAACUCAGUGGAUGUGCCGAAUCAUUCGGAUACUUUCCAGAAAAUUAUUUUACCUACUCAGAAGGCUGGGCAUCAGCCAAAACUGUCUGGAAAACCACAAGGAAAGACAUUUCCAUGAAGUAACUAGAGUUUCGGGCUUCUACUCUAGAGGAAUAUAAGAGGAACUUUCUUUAAAGAGUAUGCAGGUGGUUCCUUUUAAGCUCACCUGUCUGGUUUUUCAAACAGAUCAAGGGGUGAUGGCAGGGAAAUAUCUCCCUGGGAAAUCUCACCCCUCCAUUUGCUAAAGAGAAGGAGCUUCGAUCCCUUGACAGGAUGAUGAAACAAUAAUAAACUGAUGUGACCAAGUCUCAUGCCAGCAGUCCUACCUGUGGCCCACCCUUCUCGUGGCCAACAAUGGCUUUUCUUAAAUAAAUAAAAAUCAAGAUUUGUACCAUUCCUGCUGUAAGCUCUUCAGUGGCUCAUGGAUGAAUGAACAGGAUCACCGUUGGCACACAAGUCCUCCCACAGAUCACCGAAUCAUCUUUCCACCCCAGCUUUUGCCAUUCUCUCCCCAUCCCACAAAUCCAUUGCCAUCCAAAGAUAAGAAAGAUACCAGAUAGGGCUUCCCAGUUGCAGCAGAGUGGACUGUCUUUACACUGGAGGGCUAUUCUUCCACAAAGAAGUCUUCUCCCCCGUGGGAAGGGAUUGGAGUACUUCUCCCAGGCAUUAUGUGAGCAGAUGGUUGAGAAAUGAGCUAGCCCUUGAGCCUCUGCAGCAAGGGAGGGUCCCAUCAUGAGAGCAGAUGGUAUGGGAAAUGCACCAGUUUGGAAAUGGGAGGAACAAGUUUCAGGCCUGACUCAGAUACAGAUCCUUGCCAUCAUCAGUAUGCCCUUGAAUGAACUAUAAAGUGUCUCUGCACCUCUGUUGUCUCCUUUGCAGUGUUGAGCCAAGGUUAUAUACCACACAGGGAUUGAGGAAGAGGAAUUAAGGCAGCGUACAUGGAAGUGGCUGGCUCAGUCGUCACUGGCUAAACGCUACUUGAAUUCCGUUCUAAAACUCCACAUAGAAAGGCAAUUUGACAAAAUUUGAUCAUCCCUUCACCCCAAUUCUCACCCCGUGAACUUUUCUUCCAUUUAUCACCCUUGGAUUUCGUAGCUCGGCACACACAGUCUUUCUCCCUCUCUCACUUCUUUCUCUCUCUCCUUUUUUCUUCUUCUGUUAAACCCAAGAAAUUCUAAUGCUGAAGAGGGUUUUCUUAAGGUGAUUCUCCUGGAAAAGAUGACUCUUUAAGCAAAAAUUCAGACUUUCUCUAGAGUAACCGAGACACGUAGGUGGCGGUAGCAAUACAGGCUGACCUUCCAGCAUGGUCCCGGGAACCACAGGUCAGCUCUGCUGCAGAUGCUCAGACGGCGUGUCUCUUCCUGAAACAAAUGGACUUCCACACGGCUCUUCUGAAGACUAAGAUGGCCACGUCUAUCUAAUGAACCCAUCCUGCCACCUCCAUUUGGGUCCUGGAAAUGGACCGAGCUCUUUUGUGGUUCCCUGUACAUUUCAGCAUGCAUCUUCAGCUAUGAGAGGUCAUUUGCUGCCAGUUCUGUUGGCUUUAAUGAGUCUCCUGCCUUGGACCUGGAGAGAGAAGUGGGAAAAUGUGAUUCUCAUGCCCAGGCCUGGCCUACCUGAACUCACUUUUCCCAUUAAGCUUUGACACUGGACCAUGCGUUUGUUGGCAGAGGAGGUUUUUAUGGAUCUUAUGGGGGAUGCACAAUGGAAACUGGAAUUAAACUUGUGUUUCUCUUUUUUCUCUCUCUUUUCCUUGAUUGGGUUUUGACGGAAAUUAUUUGACUGUUUCCUUUUCACAUGGACAGAAUCGAGUAUGUUCUUUCAACGUUAUCCAAACCAUCAUGCUCAAAUGGAAAGGAAAGUUCUGUGAGGUUAAAUGGCAGAGACAUGAUGUCUACAGUAGGAACAAAGCUGCUUAGAUCCUUCCAGACGCUGUAAAUUCCCCUAACAUAAAAGACGAGUACAGACUCUGAGGUCAGAGGGACUCACGCCCAAAUCCCAUCUCCACCUCUCACAAGUUACUUAUUCUCUUUGAGUCCUGAUUUUCUCACUGGUCAAAUGGGAAUAAA